GAGCUGUCAUUCCGGGCUCCCAGACCGGGAAACUGAGGCUCAGAGGGGACCGGGCUCCGACCAAGGUCACGCCCGAGGUAGCGGCGGCGCUGUGCUCGAACCCGGAACUCGGAUUCCGGAGCUGGCUCUGUGUAAACUCGGAGAACCUCUGUCCAUGGCCAAUGGAUGACCUCAGGCCAAGAAUGCAGUAAGUUGACCUGACGUUGUGAGGUCACAGUCCAUCCAGGGAAGAGCCAGAAGAUGACCAGGACCAUCCCGGGAGGGGCUGAAAAGCUGCCCUCAUGUGUGUGGCCCUGUGCUGCAUCUAUGCAUUCCUCACUCACCUCUACAACUCUCAUGGCACAAGGGAGGAAAUGGGGGUGCAGAGGCUAAGGAACAUGCCCAAAGCUCUACAGCUGGUGUAUUAGUUAUCUACUACUGUGUAAUAAAUUGCCCCAAAACUUAGA